rnacentral:tRNA from 1 species
GCCCUGGUGGCUCAUAUGAUUAAGCACUUGGCUGCUAACCAAAAGGUUGGCAGUUCGAAUCUACCCAGUGGCU